rnacentral:rRNA from 1 species
GACGAACGCUGGCGGCGUGCUUAACACAUGCAAGUCGAACGGAAAGGCCCUGCUUUUGUGGGGUGCUCGAGUGGCGAACGGGUGAGUAACACGUGAGUAACCUGCCCUUGACUUUGGGAUAACUUCAGGAAACUGGGGCUAAUACCGGAUAGGAGCUCCUGCUGCAUGGUGGGGGUUGGAAAGUUUCGGCGGUUGGGGAUGGACUCGCGGCUUAUCAGCUUGUUGGUGGGGUAGUGGCUUACCAAGGCUUUGACGGGUAGCCGGCCUGAGAGGGUGACCGGCCACAUGGGGACUGAGAUACGGCCCAGACUCCUACGGGAGGCAGCAGUGGGGAAUAUUGCACAAGGGGCGGAAGACUGAUGCAGCAACGCCGCGUGCGGGAUGACGGCCUUCGGGUUGUAAACCGCUUUCGCCUGUGACGAAGCGUGAGUGACGGUAAUGGGUAAAGAAGCACCGGCUAACUACGUG